rnacentral:lncRNA from 1 species
AAAAGAAAUCAAAUCCAGCAUUAUAUAGAUGAAAAAUUCACUAGGAGGGUUUGAACCUCCGACCUUGUGAACCAUUAACUAUAUUAUUAAUGUAUCAUUUUAUGACUAUGUAACGCAUUAAGGCCCCGUUUGGAGGAGCUGUUGGCGGUAAAAAUUUUGAAAGUAGACCUUUUAUAAAAAGUUGUUUGUUGUUUGGUAACUACAUUUCUAGAGUGUUGGUGGAACUUUAACAUAUGAGUAAACAAACUGAGAAAGUACUUUUGGUAUGACAAAAUAACCAUAAAAAACAUUACAUAGUAUUAUACAACGGAGUAUAAUAAAAUAUAAUAUGUAUUAAUACAUAAAUAUGUGAUAAAGUAUAAUAUUAGUGUAAUGUAAUAUAAUAUUGUUAUAAUAUUGUAAUAUAAUAUUGUAUACUAUAGCAUAAUAAUUUAAUAUAGUAUUAAAUUAUUUAACAUAACAAAUCAAUGUGUUAUGAUAUAAUGUAAUAUAAUAUUAUAUUUAUAGUAUAAUACAAUAAUAAAGGUAUAAAAUAUUAUAAUUAUUAGCAUAAAUUAAUUUUUUAUACUUAUAAAGGGACAUUUUGCGUAAUUAUUCGAUUUUAUUAUGGAUAUUUUGGUCCAAAAAGAUGUUUUAGCUUUUUGGAAAAGCUAAAACAUCUUUUUGAAAAUUUUACUAAACACCUCUAUUUUAUCUAAAAGUAUUUUUGGAGGGUUAGAAAGUGCUUUUUGGCCCUCCAAAAGCUCUCCCAAACGGGGCCUAAUUCAUGAUGGA